rnacentral:rRNA from 1 species
UACGGGGGGGGCAAGCGUUGUUCGGAAUUACUGGGCGUAAAGGGCUCGUAGGUGGCCAACUAAGUCAGACGUGAAAUCCCUCGGCUCAACUGAGGAACUGCACAGGAAACUGCUUGGCUUGAGUUCGGGAGAGGGAAGCGGAAUUCCGGGUGUAGCGGUGAAAUGCGUAGAUAUCAGGAGGAACACCGGUGGCAAAGGCGGGUCUCUGGGCCGAAAUUGACGCUGAGGAGCGAAAGCGUGGGGAGCAAACAGG